CUUUACUGUAAUUUGAAAUUGAAUCUUUAUCUUUUUUGUGCAGUAUAGGUGGGAGACGGAGAAGUUUUUUUUGCGGAAAAAAUGGAGUCAUCAGUGAGAUACCACUCUAGAAAGAUUGAGAUUCUUAUUUUAGACCGUAAGCCGGGUAAAAAACAGUUUCAGAUGGACAGUUUCACUGGGGCGGUGACCUCCUAAAAGGUAACGGAGGUGUACAAAGGUUUCCUCAAAUAGUUUAGAAAUCUAUUGAAGAGUGUAAGGGCAAAAGGAAGCUUAACUGUGAGACGAACGCGUCAAACAGAGACGAAAGUCGGUCUUAGUGAUCUGAUAUUAUCAAGUGGAAGAGAUAUCACUCAACGGAUAAAAGUUA
rnacentral:rRNA from 1 species